UACGGGAGGCAGCAGUGGGGAAUAUUGCACAAUGGGCGAAAGCCUGAUGCAGCUAUGCCGCGUGUAUGAAGAAGGCCUUAGGGUUGUAAAGUACUUUCAUCGGGGAGGAAAAAACAAAACUAAUAAUUUUAUUUCUUGACGUUACCCGAAAAAGAAGCACCGGCUAACUCCGUGCCAGCAGCCGCGGUAAUACGGAGGGUGCUAGCGUUAAUCAGAAUUACUGGGCGUAAAGAGCACGUAGGUGGUUUUUUUUAAGUCAGAUGUGAAAUCCCUGGGCUUAACCUAGGAACUGCAUUUUGAAACUGAAAUACUAGAGUAUCGUAGAGGGAGGUAGAAUUCUAGGUGUAGCGGUGAAAUGCGUAGAUAUCUGGAGGAAUACCCGUGGCGAAAGCGGCCUCCUAAACGAAUACUGACACUGAGGGUGCGAAAGCGUGGGGAGCAAACAGGGAUUAGAUACC
rnacentral:rRNA from 1 species